CUUCUUUAUUAAUUUACUAGUUAGUAACUUAGGCUAGUGUUAAUUACUUUAAGUUUAAUCUAAUAAAACAACUGUAAUGGGUACUUUGAUUAUCCAAAUCCUCUGUUUGUGUUUUACUCUAGCCUCUAGGUAUUCCUGCCAGCUAAAGCCUAAACUAAAGUUGGCAGAUAAGUCUCCCAUUAUCACUGAUGUCAAUCAUGAGUAGUUUACUCACUGUUAGUGUUGUUGUUAACAUUACACGACCCGACAAAGACACAACUAUGCUAGAAAAUUCUUAAGAAAUAUUUUUGCCUUUCCUAAAUCAACCUCAAAGUCAAUCGAAUGUCUUGUUUACAAAUGUACUUCUCUACUACAACAUAAGUUUUAGGACUAAUAUGCAAAAUCUUGUAUUUGGAAGCCAGGAAACAAUGGGCUGGAUUUAUACCUGUGGAGGUCCUUAACUCUGUUCAAACUCAUAAUACAGUGGUCCCCCUCUCUAACGACUGACCUUACAGCCAGUCUAUCAAAGUCGUAUCUGCGGGGAUGUCGUUAGGAAGGGGACGGGCCAUGGGGCCAUUGCCUACAGUCAGCCAGUCAUCCUUAGCCAGAAUCAAUC